rnacentral:rRNA from 1 species
CCUACGGGUGGCUGCAGUGGGGAAUAUUGCACAAUGGGGGAAACCCUGAUGCAGCGACGCCGCGUGAGUGAAGAAGUAUUUCGGUAUGUAAAGCUCUAUCAGUAGGGAAGAAAUAUCGAGCUGUGGGUCGCCAGAGUGUACAUGAUAAAGAAGCCGCGGCUAACUACGUGCCAGCAGCCGCGGGAAUACGUAGGGGGCAAGUGUUAUCCGGAGUUAGUGGGUGUAAAGGGAGCGUAGACGGCAGGUCAAGUAUGAAGUGAAAUGUCGGGGCUUAACCCCGGAGGGGCAUUGGAAAUUGGGAAGCUAGAGUGCAGGAGAGGUAAGUGGAAUUCCGAGUGUAGCGGUGAAAUGCGUAGAGAUUAGGAGGAACACCAGUGGCGAAGGCGGCUUACUGGACUGUAACUGACAUUGAGGCUCGAAAGCGUGGGGAGCAAACAGGAUUAGAUACCCUUGUAGUC